GAUGAACGCUGGCGGCGUGCCUAAUACAUGCAAGUCGAGCGAACAGACGAGGAGCUUGCUCCUCUGACGUUAGCGGCGGACGGGUGAGUAACACGUGGAUAACCUACCUAUAAGACUGGGAUAACUUCGGGAAACCGGAGCUAAUACCGGAUAAUAUAUUGAACCGCAUGGUUCAAUAGUGAAAGACGGUUUUGCUGUCACUUAUAGAUGGAUCCACGCCGCAUUAGCUAGUUGGUAAGGUAACGGCUUACCAAGGCAACGAUGCGUAGCCGACCUGAGAGGGGAUUCGGCACAACUGAACCUGGAACACGUUCCAGACUCCUACGGAAGGCAGCGUUAGGGAACCUUCCGAAAUGGGCGAAAGCCUGACGGACAAAGGCCGGGGGGUUGAUGAAGGUCUCCGAAUCUUAAAACCUUGUUAUUAGGAAAGAAAAAAGUUGAAAGUAACAAUGCACUUCUGGAGGGAACCAAAUCAGAAAGCAACGGUAAACUACGG
rnacentral:rRNA from 1 species